rnacentral:rRNA from 1 species
CCCUAUGGGGUGCAGCAGGAUCCUCUAAACAGCCCAGAUCAAACGGCCCAAAACUGCUCUUGGAGAGCACGAACUUCUUACAGACCGUUCGCUCUUUAAGUGAGGCGGUGAGUCCCUAUUUCGAGGUCGAAUUCAGAUUUUCUUCGGUCGGUAUUGAGAGAUUCUCUUCGCUCUUUCUGCCUCUUGGCUCCCUUGCGCCUCAGGAUCCAAUAAGAGUACAGAAUGAAGCGGGUUUCCCUGGCCAUGGUUAUUUUAUUGCGAUGCAAGAACUUGAUUUGAUUCGACAGGUCGAGGAUGGGUGGAUCUGUAACAAGGGGAGGGC